AGAGAUGGGGCCGCGACCGAUCAGGUAGUUGGUGAGGCAAUGGCUCACCAAGCCUUUUACCGGUGCGGGCCGUGAGAGCGGGAGCCCGGAGAUGGGCACUGAGACAAGGGCCCAGGCCCCACGGGGCGCAGCAGUCGCGAAACCUUUGCAAUACACGAAAGUGUGACAGGGCUAUCCCGAGUGCCAUCCGCUGAGGAAGGCUUUUACCCAGUAUAAAUAGCUGGGAGAAUAAGGAGAGGGCAAGUCUGGUGUCAGCCGCCGCGGUAAUACCAGCUCUCCGAGUAGUGUGGACGUUUAUUGAGCCUAAAGCAUCCGUAGCUUGCUAGAUAAGUCCUCUGUUAAAUCCACCGAUUCAAUCGUUGGAUUGCGGGGGAUACUGUUUGGCUAGGGGACGGGAGAGGUCGACGGUAUUUCCGGGGUAGGGGUGAAAUCCUAUAAUCCCGGGAAGACCACCAGUGGCGAAGGCUGUCGACUAGAACGCGCCCGACGGUGAGGGAUGAAAGCUGGGGGAGCGAACCGGAUUAGAUACCCGGGUAGUCCCAGCUGUAAACGAUGCAGGCUAGGUGUUUGGGCGGCCACGAGCCGCCCUAGUGCCGCAGGGAAGCUGUUAAGCCUGCCGCCUGGGGAGUACGGCCGCAAGGCUGAAACUUAAAGGAAUUGGCGGGGGAGCACCACAAGGGGUGAAGCUUGCGGUUUAAUUGGCCAACGCCGGAAAUCUCACCGGGAUCGACAGCAGUAUGAAAGCCAGAUUAAAGGUCUUGCUAGACGAGCUGAGAGGAGGUGCAUGGCCGUCGCCAGUUCGUGCCGUGAGGUGUCCUGUUAAGUCAGGCAACGAUCGAGACCCGCGUCCUCUGUUGCUACUGGCUUUGUGCCAGGCACACUGAGGAGACCGCCGCUGAUAAAGCGGAGGAAGGAGCGGGCCACGGCAGGUCAGUAUGCCCCGAAUAUCCCGGGCCACACGCGAGCUGCAAUGGCAGGUACAAUGGGUUCCGACCUCGUAAGGGGAAGGCAAUCUCGAAAGCCUGCCGUAGUUGGGAUCGAGGGUUGAAACUCACCCUCGUGAACAUGGAAUCCCUAGUAAUCGCGUGUCACUAGCGCGCGGUGAAUACGUCCCUGCUCCUUGCACACACCGCCCGUCGUUCCACCCGAGCGACUCCUGGGUGAGGCGUGGUCUUCCUUGGCUGCGUCGAAUCUGGGUUUCGCAAGGGGGGAAAAGUCGUAACAAGGUG
rnacentral:rRNA from 1 species